GAUGAACGCUGGCGGCGUGCCUAAUACAUGCAAGUCGAACGGGGUACUCGGACGGAUCUUCGGAAAAGACCGAGUUACCUAGUGGCGAACGGGUGAGUAUCGCGUUGGUGACCUGCCCCAAAGAGAGGGACAACAGUUCGAAAGGACUGCUAAUACCUCAUGUGUCUUUUCAUGGUUAGAGGUGAAAAGGUAAAGGAGCAAUCCGCUUUGGGAGGGGCCUGCGUCCCAUCAGCUAGUUGGUAAGGUAACGGCUUACCAAGGCAAAGACGGGUAGGGGACCUGAGAGGGUGGCCCCCCACAAUGGAACUGAAACACGGUCCAUACACCUACGGGUGGCAGCAGUAGGGAAUAUUGCACCAUGGGCGAAAGCCUGAUGCAGCAACGCCGCGUGAGCGAUGAAGGCCCUCGGGUCGUAAAGCUCUUUUCAAGGGGAAGAGGAAGGACGGUACCCUUGGAAUAAGUCUCGGCUAACUACGUG
rnacentral:rRNA from 1 species